rnacentral:lncRNA from 1 species
ACCGCGUCGACACUGGAGCGGACCUUGUCGGAACUACAGACCUGUCUCCCACUCUGGCGGCUGCGGACCGGACAGACAGCCAGGGAGGAGGCAAGUAUUCCCCAAAGAGGCUUCCUCCCCUCCUCAUCCUCCUCCCCGCGCCCUUGCUCUGCAGCUUGAGCGGCAGGGUAGGAGGGGACUUUUUUCCAGAAAGAAGUGGACAGCAAGCAAUCAAUUUUCCUCUCCGGCCAUGGUGACCAAGUCCCUGCCCGGGCCCUUUCCAGGUUCAACAGACCUGUUGCACCCAGAGAAGAGCCCCAAACCGAUCGGCGCGCCAAGAGCCCCCGAGACUCUGCUUGCCAAUAUCCCGAGAGCCCAGCACCGACGGGGAAAUGUGGGGAAGCCCCCAGACGCAAUUGAGGUAAUCAUCUCAGUGUUCAGGGCCCCUCUUCCUACCCACUGAGAUAGCGGCAAAUAACUCACUAACCCGGAGGGCAAUGGAGAGGCGGAAGCCCUGUCUACUGAAAACGAACAUCUAGCGCAGGUGCGUGCUAGUCUCGCCUUUCCAUCCGCCGGGUCCUUGCCUAGCGGUCAGAAUCCCGCGGUCAGGUCUCUGGAGCCCCUCCCCGGCAAAUCCGAGCUUCUAGCUUCAGCACCAGAAGCUGGACAGCGCCCUGCCCGCUGAGCGCGGGACGAUCCCUGGGACGCCGCGCAGAGGAGUGCCUGAGGACAAACUCUCCUAUAAGCCUGGCAGCCUGCAGGAUGCCUUCACGCAGAGCCCAGAAUUAAAGAAUUUUAGAAAUUUUAGAAAACCACGGUCAUCAUCAGCUCAAGUCCAUCACUGUUGGAUUGGUCCCCAAACAGAGCAGGGUUCAGAAAGGAGGUGUUAUGUGAGUGUGAACGGGUCAAUCCACUUUCACUGCCUCUUCAGCCCAGCUCUGCGUGUAAUCUAAGCCAGGAGGUGUGUGGGGCACUGGGGAGGAAAUAAUGAGCACAGCGUAGAGCAGGAUAGUGACUUGGUUGGUGGCUUUAGAGCCGCUGCUGCUCACGUGGACAGGCCCGCAGCAUGGUGUCCAGAGAGCUGCUGCAAAUUCUCUCCAAACUCUGCCUGUGACGUCUGUAGCUUGUCAUUCCCAUCUGACAUUCAUCUGCAAGGUACCCUAGAAAGGCCUGCUUGCUCUAGGACAACUGGGGUCCUAACCUGUCCUGUGAAACCCUCACGCCUGACUUAGUGAGCUGUGUUCUCUGGUCUUUCUCCCUGAAGCAACAGCUAGGGCUGGCAGUGCCCUAGCCCACUCUCACCAGUGACAGACACAAGGGGCUAUGUUUUGUUUUAAAAGAAAUCAAGGAUAAUGAACUCCUCCGUGUUGCUUGAUAGGCCAAAGGGAGGGGGGACCUCAGGUCAUUGCAGCUUGGAGCUCAUAGCCAGCCCCCACCCUAUGAGGUGCAGAUCAGAGAGUCUCAGCCUCCAGGGGAGGGAGGAACCCCCUCACCCUUGCAUCCUGCACAGGGCAACUUGAGCUUCCUCAGGCCCACACAGGACCGUCCCCUGGCUCUGGCUGACUGCUGGACAUUGCCAAACCUUCUGCACAUCGUCCCCCAUGGCCCCUGAGUCUCUCUGUCACUCUGCAUGGGGAGAAUGGAGGGUCAGCUAAAGAGGAAGAGCUCAGAAUUAAAAAGCAAAAGAAUUAAAAGUACCUAUAGGGAAGGGUAAUUAUCCUUCAGCUGCUGCUGAAAUACAAUUAGG